rnacentral:rRNA from 1 species
GUGCCAGCAGCCGCGGUAAUACGUAGGUGGCAAGCGUUGUCCGGAUUUACUGGGCGUAAAGAGCGCGCAGGCGGUCGAGUAAGUCGAAUGUGAAAGCCCCCGGCUUAACUGGGGAGGGUCAUUCGAUACUGUUCGACUUGAAGGCAGGAGAGGGCAGCAGAAUUCCCGGUGUAGUGGUGAAAUGCGUAGAUAUCGGGAGGAAUACCAGUGGCGAAGGCGGCUGCCUGGCCUGUUCUUGACGCUGAGGCGCGAAAGCUGGGGGAGCAAACGGGAUUAGAAACCCUCGUAGUCC